AGCGAACGCUGGCGGCAGGCCUAACACAUGCAAGUCGAACGAACUCUUCGGAGUUAGUGGCGGACGGGUGAGUAACACGUGGGAACGUGCCUUUAGGUUCGGAAUAACUCAGGGAAACUUGAGCUAAUACCGGAUGUGCCCUUCGGGGGAAAGAUUUAUCGCCUUUAGAGCGGCCCGCGUCUGAUUAGCUAGUUGGUGAGGUAAAGGCUCACCAAGGCGACGAUCAGUAGCUGGUCUGAGAGGAUGAUCAGCCACAUUGGGACUGAGACACGGCCCAAACUCCUACGGGAGGCAGCAGUGGGGAAUCUUGCGCAAUGGGCGAAAGCCUGAUGCAGCCAUGCCGCGUGAAUGAUGAAGGUCUUAGGAUUGUAAAAUUCUUUCACCGGGGACGAUAAUGACGGUACCCGGAGAAGAAGCCCCGGCUAACUUCGUG
rnacentral:rRNA from 1 species